rnacentral:rRNA from 1 species
AGCAGCCGCGGUAAUUCCAGCUCCAAUAGCGUAUAUUAAAGUUGUUGCAGUUAAAAAGCUCGUAGUUGAAUUUCGGGAUUGACGUGAUGGUCGUGCCUUAAGGGGUAUGAACUGUUGCUGUUGAUUUCUCACCUUCUGGAGAAACUUGAUGUCCUUAAUUGGGUGUCUUGCGGAUCCAGGACCUUUACCUUGAAAAAAUUAGAGUGUUUAAAGCAGGCAUUUUGCUCGAAUACAUUAGCAUGGAAUAAUAGAAUAGGACGGCAUGGUUCUAUUUUGUUGGUUUCUAGGAUCACCGUAAUGAUUAAUAGGGAUAGUUGGGGGCAUUAGUAUUCAAUUGUCAGAGGUGAAAUUCUUGGAUUUAUUGAAGACUAACUACUGCGAAAGCAUUUGCCAAGGAUGUUUUCAUUAAUCAAGAACGAAAGUUAGGGGAUCGAAGACGAUCAGAUACCGUCGUAGUCUUAACCAUAAACUAUGCCGACUAGGAUCGGAUGAU